GGAGUCGGCCAGACAGUCGCGUCACCCAUGCCCUCCGGGGCGGCGGGUGCCGAGGAAAGUCCGGGCUCCACAGGGCACGGUGCCAGGUAACCCCUGGGCGGCGCGAGCCGACGGAAAGUGCAACAGAGAGCAGACCGCCGAUGGCCCGAAAGGGAUCAGGCAAGGGUGAAACGGUGCGGUAAGAGCGCACCGCGAGUCCGGCAACGGACCGGCACGGCAAACCCCACCGGGAGCAAGGCCAAAUAGGGACCUCAUGACGUGGCCCGCGUCGGGUCCGGGUAGGCUGCUCGAGCGUAGCGGUGACGCUGCGCCUAGAGGAAUGACUGUCCACGACAGAACCCGGCUUAUCGGCCGGCUCCGCCA
rnacentral:RNase_P_RNA from 1 species